GACGAACGCUGGCGGCGUGCUUAACACAUGCAAGUCGAACGGAAAGGCCCUGCUUUUGUGGGGUGCUCGAGUGGCGAACGGGUGAGUAACACGUGAGUAACCUGCCCCUGACUUUGGGAUAACUUCAGGAAACUGGGGCUAAUACCGGAUAGGAGCUCCUGCUGCACGGUGGGGGUUGGAAAGUUUCGGCGGUUGGGGAUGGACUCGCGGCUUAUCAGCUUGUUGGUGGGGUAGUGGCUUACCAAGGCUUUGACGGGUAGCCGGCCUGAGAGGGUGACCGGCCACAUUAGUACUGAGAUACGGCCCAGACUCCUACGGGAGGCAACAGUGGGGAAUAUUGCACAGUGGGCGGAAGCCUGAUGCAGCGACGCCGCGUGCGGGAUGACGGCCUUCGGGUUGUAAACCGCUUUCGCCUGUGACGAAGAGUGAGUGACGGUAAUGGGUAAAGAAGCACCGGCUAACUACGUG
rnacentral:rRNA from 1 species